AUUUUUAAAGAGGGCAAAUUGAUUUAGAACACUAUGCCCCGCCCCUGACGUAAACGUCACAACGGUAAUGUGAUGAGGACGUCGUGACGUCAUACGUGGGGGACGUUACAUUUGAGAAUGGCGCCGGAAGUAUAGGAGGAUGCGGCCAGACGCCAAAUAAUUGCGUGGAUGCGGCCGAACACCGGAAACCGGAAGAGGAAG